rnacentral:rRNA from 1 species
UGGCUCAGAGCGAACGCUGGCGGCAGGCCUAACACAUGCAAGUCGAACGGCCCUUCGGGGGUAGUGGCGGACGGGUGAGUAACGCGUGGGAAUGUGCCCUUUGGUACGGAACAACUGAGGGAAACUUCAGCUAAUACCGUAUGUGCCCUUCGGGGGAAAGAUUUAUCGCCAUUGGAGCAGCCCGCGUUGGAUUAGGUAGUUGGUGGGGUAAAGGCCUACCAAGCCUACGAUCCAUAGCUGGUCUGAGAGGAUGAUCAGCCACAUUGGGACUGAGACACGGCCCAAACUCCUACGGGAGGCAGCAGUGGGGAAUCUUGCGCAAUGGGCGAAAGCCUGACGCAGCCAUGCCGCGUGUAUGAUGAAGGUCUUAGGAUUGUAAAAUACUUUCACCGGGGAAGAUAAUGACGGUACCCGGAGAAGAAGCCCCGGCUAACUUCGUG